GGAAUAUUGCGCAAUGGAGGAAACUCUGACGCAGCCACGCCGCGUGCAGGAUGACACCCCUAUGGGGCGUAAACUGCUUUUAUGUGAGAAGAAAACCCGACUCGGUCGGGCCUGACGGUAUCACAGGAAUAAGCACCGGCUAACUCCGUGCCAGCAGCCGCGGUAAUACGGAGGGUGCAAGCGUUGUCCGGAAGCACUGGGUGUAAAGGGUGUGUAGGCGGGACUGUAAGUCAGAGGUGAAAUCCCACGGCUCAACCGUGGAACUGCCUUUGAUACUGCAGUUCUUGAGUAUCGGAGAGGUUGCUGGAAUUCGUGGUGUAGCGGUGAAAUGCGUAGAUAUCACGAGGAACACCAGAGGCGUAGGCGGGCAACUGGACGAUAACUGACGCUGAGGCACGAAAGCGUGGGGAGCAAACAGG
rnacentral:rRNA from 1 species